AUGCCCCUUCCCCUCCAGCUCUUCCUCUCGGGUCCCAACCCUGGGCUAGGGUUCCAUACGCUGCCGCCUUUGGGCAGACCACGUAAACUGACGUCGAUGUCCGAGAUGAGCGGGCCGCCGCACCGUCUUUCGCCUCCACCGACCUUCGAGACACCCUACCCGUGGGACGACACCGCCGCCGCCUUGCGGAACUUCAGGGCAGGGCAGGGCGUGGUCGCGUUGCGGGCAACGAGGAGCGGCGCCGGCGCGUGCGUAGCCACUUAGCGAGAGAGGAAGGGAGUGUCGGUUGUCCUGAUGCCCCAGCUCCGAUUGUCCUGCCUGGCUGCCUCCCGAAGCCCCCAAAAGAUCCAUCCACAUCCAGUACUGUACCCACAACAAGUUUCUUCAGAUUGCAUUGCAAUUUCUUUACAAGAAUACCCAGGAGCAAAUUCCUGGCUCCGCCACUGAAUGGCGCCCGUGCCUUCGAGUCCCUCGGCAUUCGUGCGGGUGUUCGCAGCGUCGGGCUUGGUCAACGAGUUGAUGGGGUCUUCCGGCGUGACGCACCUGCUGUAGAAGUUGGUGUUCAAGGACACGUGGCACCGGAGCCACUUGCAGAUCACGCGGGAGGUGGAGGCCAUGGGGGGCAACAUCGGCGCCUCCGCGUCCAGGUAGCACUUGGUGCACAGCUACGACAUGCUCUCCAGGCAUACAUACCGCUGGCCGUGCGUUGAACAUGCUUCUUUGAUGAUAAGUAACAGACUUCUUCCUCCAAUGGCUGAAACAAGCUUUGUGAUUUACUCCUCUAAUUCUCUUUUGACAUGCUGAUUAAUUCCUCGCAAUUUUCUAGAGUAAAUCCAUUCUUACAUAUAAAUUAGUACGCUUCAUACUUGAUCUAUAUAUAUGAUCUAUUUAUUCGGUUCUCAUUUGUUGUCAUAAUGUCUCAUAACCUUGUAGUUUCUUCGAACUGGUUCUCAACUAAUGUUGGCCCUGUUAAAGUUUUUUUUAUGGAAGCAUCCAUUCAGUUGUAGUGCUUUUUGUGUGGUGCUUGGUCACCGAAUCAACAUACUUGAAGAGAUAGCUUGCUCUUGUCCUUUACUUUUCCUUUUUAUUUUUUCUAGACAAUGCCUUUAAGAAAUAGGAAAUAUGAAUUCAUAUUAAAAAUGCAAGAAAAUAAUCAGAAGAUGAUUAAGGUUUAGUUUUAGCAAAACAUUUGUACUUAGGAAUACUGUGUGCCUAGCGAAUUUUGACACUCUCUUUCUCCUAACACGUUUCAGGGCCUUCAUUUUCUCGAGUAUGCCGCAGGCUAUGUCGUGCUCUCUUAGAUCACACCUCCUACACGCCCCUCAUGGCCGCACAUGCUGCUACCUUCCUUGAUGGCCUCUUCGCCACCAGUGUGUGCCGCGACGGCUGUCGUCUCCAUGCCACCCAUCAGUAGCGGUGGCAACUCGACUCUUACCUUAUGCACCCAGACCCAUCUGCUUCUCUUAUUUGAUUUUGUGGGUUGCACUGAUCUCUCUUAGUACAUGUCUAUUUGCAGAGAAAUUAUUUAUAAUUUAGUCUUAAGGGAAGACUGAUCUAGUACUGGAGGUACAUUUCUAAACAUUGUGCUUUUUUCAUCUGUGGGCACUUCACUGAACGAAUUCUGAUCCUCUAGGUCUAUGAAUUGUAUGUUCUGAUUUAUUUUAAGCCGAAAAUUUUGUCACUGUGUCAUUUAUUACAUACAUCUCUCUGGUUCUUCCCCCAAAACUAAUGUCCUUAUCUGCAUUUUUGGUCAACUUCACAUACACAUACACACACAUAUAUAUAUAUACAUGGUUUUGCCAUCUAGCUAGAAGCUCAUUGGUCAAGCAUGCCACAAAACAAAAAGUUAGGCGGUGCAAUGCAUUUCUCGGAAUUAACAACAGAUAGGAGAGUUGCUAAUUCACUUCUAAUGAAUGUGCUAUGGAACCCCUAGCUUGAUUAUUCAUUGGGAAGAAGAGGGCACUACAGUUCUGAUCUGCUAUACUUUUUAGAGACUUUCGAUUUCCUACCUUGGUGCAUGAUGUCUACAUGAAUAUUUUUAUGGAAAGUCUUCUACCGUCAAGCCGCAUGUCGGCGCCUUCGAUGUAGAGUUGAUUAUACUGUCUAUUCUACUGCAAGUAGGGAAAGGUGGCUCCGCGUAUCCAUAUCCUUAGGUGUUAAAUGUAGUUCUAGGACAUAUAGUAUAUGACUGAGUUCUUUCACCUCCUAAUCCCGGGAGUAAUUCAAUUCAAUACUUAGGCAUCCACACUCCUGCUUGAUCUAUGUCCGAGCUCCCUCCUUUGCAUAGCUAAAUCUGAUGGUGACUUACCGGACUAAACGGAAUCGCUAAGUUGAUGUUCCAUGGAAUUGCUAACCACCUCUCAAAGGUUUAAAGUUUGAUCUCUUUGUUAUUGAUCUAAGAGAGAAAUGGGUUCUGCAGCUCUGAUGUGAUAAUAUUUGUAACAAACAAUGACAAAAUCUACACCGUGCACAGACAAUUACUUUGAUGGUUGGGGAAAAUGUAGUCAUUAGUGCCUCUCUUUAAAUUGUACAUGUUGUAAUAUAGAAAAAUUAGAGAAACAUCUUGAGUACCAUGCCCAUGUACAGUGUUACUUACAUUUCAUAUCCCUUAGAUGAGAAUAAUCGAAUGUAUGAAUAUAUGUAUCUUUAGUAGUCAUUUGAUACCUUUUUCUCCAUGUGGAGAGUCCAAUUUGUGAUAUUCAUCAAUGGAACCAAAACAUGUCCACUUUUGCUUCCUAUUUCAAACUGAUAGUGCUUCAUUGAUGGCCUACAACAGUAUUUUGUUCCAAUAAAAACAUAACUCCUAAUGUCUCAGUUGGUAGUCCCCGUUCCAUAGUUCAUGGCCUUUUCCUCCUCUCUCUGAGCGAAAAGAGCCCAUGGGGCGGCAGCGUGAGGGCACCGGCGACGGUCCAUUGGGUGGCGGUGCGGUGCUCGCCGGUGGAUAUAUUAUUGUAAAUGCUUAAACUUUUUAGCCUGUAGUGCUUCCUAAUCAUAAUACUUUAGUAUACUUUUUGGCUCCUAUUGAGUUAACAUGCUACAUCUGUACAUCUGCCUUUGGGUGGUUUUCCCUUUCCUUACAUAUAUUUAGUUCUGUAUUUCCAAGCUAUUGUUAUCUUACUAGACUGAGUGGUUGGGUACGCAUCCCUUUGUUUAGGACAAUUACAGCAAUGAAGUAGGAGGAAGAAGGAAUGCAGGCGAGCUUGUGAAAGUCACAACAGCAAAGAUCCACAGGUCAGCAAUCUUGGUUCCUCUGCUUCUGCACUGCAUAUAUAUAUAUUUUCUAGAAAUCUCUUUUUUUUGCAAUUUUUGUUAUUUUGCUUACUACAAGUAACAUGGAGAUGCCAUAUGAUUUUGUUCUGUUUGUAAAGAUGCAUAAGUCAGAGGAGGAACCAUGAAUUUUGAACAAGCAUUAGUUUGUGGCUCAUGGACGAAGAUUGCAAGUACUACUUUGUAACUAAUUUAGCUAAUCGCUCACCAAGUAGGUGAUUUAGCUAAUCGCUCACCAAGUAAUUAAUAUUUAAUCUGAAGUUGUAUAUUCACUCUAGGACAAUAGUGAUACGUCUUCUUCGUAUCUAUAAUUUUGAUUGUUCCAUGCUAAUAUUAUUCAACUUUCAUAUACUUUUGGCAACUUUUUAUACUAUUUUUGGGACUAGCAUAUUGAUCCAGUGCCCAGUGCCAGUUCCUGUUUGUUGCAUGUUUUAUGUUUCGCAGAAACCUCAUAUCAAACAGAGUCCAAACGGGAUAAAA